UCAAGAGGAAUUCAGUAGAAGGUCGACCGACAGUGGAGUUCGGAUGGCAUUAUGGAGGUUCGUCCGUUGGAGGAGUCUUGGGAUACUGUGGAAGGUCGAACAUUGGAGGAGUUCGGGAUUCAAUUCUGUUGUAGAAGUUCGGAUGGAGUCUGGCUCUUGUUGGAGUCUGAAAAGAGGCUGCUUAUUGUAGAAGCUCGGACGA
rnacentral:lncRNA from 1 species